rnacentral:tRNA from 2 species
CAGAGAAUAGUUUAUAUAAAAUAUUAACUUUGGAAGUUAAUGAAGAAUAAAUUUAUUUUUCUCUGA